rnacentral:rRNA from 1 species
CAGCCGCCGCGGUAAUACGUAGGGCGCGAGCGUUGUCCGGAAUCAUUGGGCGUAAAGCGCGUGUAGGCGGCUGAGUAAGUCUGCUGUGAAAGUCCAGGGCUCAACCCUGGAAUGUCGGCGGAUACUGCUCAGCUGGAGUACGGGAGGGGCGAGUGGAAUUCCUGGUGUAGCGGUGGAAUGCGCAGAUAUCAGGAGGAACACCUAUGGCGAAGGCAGCUCGCUGGAACGUUACUGACGCUGAGACGCGAAAGCGUGGGAAGCAAACAGGAUUAGAUACCCGCGUAGUCCCUGUCUCUUAUAC